rnacentral:rRNA from 1 species
AUUGAACGCUGGCGGCAUGCUUUACACAUGCAAGUCGAACGGCAGCGCGGGCUUCGGCCUGGCGGCGAGUGGCGAACGGGUGAGUAAUACAUCGGAACGUGCCCACCAGUGGGGGAUAGCUCGGCGAAAGCCGGAUUAAUACCGCAUACGACCUGAGGGUGAAAGCGGGGGAUCUUCGGACCUCGCGCUAUUGGAGCGGCCGAUGGCAGGGUAGCUAGUUGGUGGGGUAAAGGCCUACCAAGGCGACGAGCUGUAGCUGGUCUGAGAGGAGGACCAGCCACCCUAGGACUGCGACAGGGCCCAGAGGCCUACGGGAGGAACCAGAAGGGAAUUUUGGGCAGUGGUGGAGAACCUGAUCCAGCAAUCCGGCGUGUGUGAUGACGGCGUUCGGGUUGUAAAGCACGUUUGCCGGGAACGAAAAGCACUGUGCCAAUACCACGGUUGGGUGACGGUACCCGGAAAAUAAGCACCGGCUAACUACGUG